rnacentral:rRNA from 1 species
GAUGAACGCUGGCGGCGUGCCUAAUACAUGCAAGUCGAACGAAGAUCUAGCUUGCUAGAUCUUAGUGGCGAACGGGUGAGUAAUACAUAAAUAAUCUGCCCAUAUGACUGGGAUAACUAUUGGAAACGAUAGCUAAUACCGGAUAGGUUGAUUGGAGGCAUCUCUGAUUAAUUAAAGUAGGAUUUCUACACAAAUGGAUGAGUUUAUGGCGCAUUAGUUAGUUGGUGGGGUAACGGCCUACCAAGACGAUGAUGAGUAGCCGACCUGAGAGGGUGACCGGCCACACUGGGACUGAGACACGGCCCAGACUCCUACGGGAGGCAGCAGUAGGGAAUUUUCGGCAAUGGGCGCAAGCCUGACCGAGCAACGCCGCGUGAGUGAUUAAGGCCUUCGGGUUGUAAAGCUCUGUUGUAAGGGAAGAACAUUCAGGAUAGGAAAUGAUCUUGAACUGACGGUACCUUACCAGAAAGCCACGGCUAACUACGUGCCAGCAGCCGCGGUAAUAC